UGGGGAAUAUUGGACAAUGGGCGCAAGCCUGAUCCAGCCAUGCCGCGUGAGUGAUGAAGGCCUUAGGGUUGUAAAGCUCUUUCGCCGGUGAAGAUAAUGACGGUAACCGGAGAAGAACGCCCCGGCUAACUUCGUGCCAGCAGCCGCGGUAAUACGAAGGGGGCUAGCGUUGCUCGGAAUCACUGGGCGUAAAGCGCACGUAGGCGGAUCGUUAAGUCAGGGGUGAAAUCCUGGNGCUCAACUCCAGAACUGCCCUUGAUACUGGCGAUCUCGAGUUCGAGAGAGGUUGGUGGAACUCCGAGUGUAGAGGUGAAAUUCGUAGAUAUUCGGAAGAACACCAGUGGCGAAGGCGGCCAACUGGCUCGAUA
rnacentral:rRNA from 1 species